rnacentral:lncRNA from 1 species
CUAGAAGCUCGCUCUUAUACUGAUCGACAUGGAGAGGGCUUCUGGCGUAGAUCGGUGCGAGGAAAUCUCGAUGAGUACACCAUCCCGUGAAUAAGGUACUGCUUUUCUCGGCGUCACAAGAAAGGCGACGAUCAUGGCACAGGCAAGUCAAGUUAUCUUAUUGCAUGAAUUUGUUCUCUCUCCCUCUCUUAUCUCUGGUCACAGUCAUAGCACUACACACGGAUUUCUUCCCUUCCCUCUCUCUCUUGCUCUCUAGAAGCUCUUCCAUAAUUUUCUUUUCCUAGAUUUCUCUCUAGCUAUGCUUAGCUAACUGUCUUUUUUUUUUUCUGUUCUUCUAGCUAGAUGGAAUGGGAAUUCCAGCGCACGAGUAGCCGGAUGGAACUUGGACGUGGCACUUGGCCGGGAUGGAGAGCGCGGCCUGGAGAUUGAA